rnacentral:lncRNA from 1 species
GUGUGGGGGGCAGAAGAGCAAACUGAGGAAGAAGAAGAAACAAUAUUUGGAAGGCAUUAUUUUUUUUCUGAUAAUAAUUUUUUAGGAAAGUACAUUUCUCACAAUGGCACUAUCAUCAUACUACUAAUGAUAGCAAGCCAUAUUGUAAAUAGAAUUUUAAUCCACAAUGAAAGUCUGACUAACCUCUUGCUUUUUGAUGUUUUGUGAAGGAUAAAAUUACUCACCAACCCAAAGGAAGCAUGGGCAGAGUAGAGGCA